rnacentral:rRNA from 1 species
AGAGUUUGAUCCUGGCUCAGAACGAACGCUGGCGGCGUGCCUAACACAUGCAAGUCGUACGAGAAAAUCCGCUUCGGCGGGUGAGUAGAGUGGCGCACGGGUGAGUAACGCGUGGAUAAUCUGCCUUUAAGCUGGGAAUAACUCACCGAAAGGUGGGCUAAUACCCGAUAAUGCUAUGGGACUUCGGUUUUAUAGCCAAAGAGAGCCUCUACAUGUAAGCCUUCACUUAAAGAUGAGUCCGCGUACCAUUAGCUAGUUGGUAGGGUAAUGGCCUACCAAGGCGACGAUGGUUAGCUGGUCUGAGAGGAUGAUCAGCCACACUGGAACUGAGACACGGUCCAGACUCCUACGGGAGGCAGCAGUGAGGAAUAUUGCGCAAUGGGGGCAACCCUGACGCAGCAACGCCGCGUGAGUGAGGAAGGUCUUCGGAUCGUAAAGCUCUGUCGGGUGGGAAGAAGUGUGCAUAGGUUAAUAGCUUGUGCACUUGACGGUACCGCCAAAGGAAGCACCGGCUAACUCCGUGCCAGCAGCCGCGGUAAUACGGGGGGUGCGAGCGUUGUUCGGAAUCAUUGGGCGUAAAGAGCGUGUAGGCGGCUAGGCAAGUCAGAUGUGAAAUCCCUGGGCUUAACCCAGGAAGUGCAUUUGAAACUGCUUAGCUUGAGUAAGGAAGAGGGAAGUGGAAUUCCUGGUGUAGAGGUGAAAUUCGUAGAUAUCAGGAGGAACACCGGUGGCGAAGGCAGCUUACUGGGCCAUUACUGACGCUGAUGCACGAAAGCGUGGGGAUCGAACAGGAUUAGAUACCCUGGUAGUCCACGCCGUAAACGAUGAUCACUCGCUGUUAGCGAUACACAGUUAGCGGCUAAGCAAAGGCAUUAAGUGAUCCACCUGGGGAGUACGGCCGCAAGGCUGAAACUCAAAGGAAUUGACGGGGGCCCGCACAAGCGGAGGAACAUGUGGUUUAAUUCGAUGAUACGCGAGGAACCUUACCUGGGCUUAAAUGUAGAGUGCAUUCAGCUGAAAGGCUGAUUUCCUUCGGGACUUUCUGCAAGGUGCUGCAUGGUUGUCGUCAGCUCGUGCCGUGAGGUGUCGGGUUAAGUCCCAUAACGAGCGCAACCCUUAUCGUUAGUUGCCAGCGGGUAAUGCCGGGAACUCUAACGGAACUGCCGGUGUAAACCGAGAGGAAGGUGGGGAUGACGUCAAAUCAGCACGGCCCUUAUGUCCAGGGCUACACACGUGUUACAAUGGCCGGUACAGAGGGCAGCUAUGCCGCGAGGCAAUGCGAAUCUCGAAAGCCGGUCUCAGUUCGGAUCGGAGUCUGCAACUCGACUCCGUGAAGCUGGAUUCGCUAGUAAUCGCGCAUCAGCCAUGGCGCGGUGAAUACGUUCCCGGGCCUUGUACUCACCGCCCGUCAAG